rnacentral:lncRNA from 1 species
GUCGAGUGAUGCUUUGAGAGAGACAGCUUUGGUAUCAAUAACAUGUUCAAUACCAUAAAACGCUCAACCACAUGUCCUCUUUUAUCCACAUAACGCAACACAGCUGCCAUUUGGUCUUUUGUGGAUAUGUCACGAGAUUCAUCAAUCAUAACAGAAAAUAAAGAGUCACCAAUUUCUUUAAUGAUAGCUCUAGAAAUUUCAGCUGAACAAACACUUACAAUUUGUUUCUGAAUAUCAGGGGAUGUCAUUUGGAGAUUUG